rnacentral:rRNA from 1 species
GAUGAACGCUGGCGGCGUGCCUAAUACAUGCAAGUCGAGCGAACGGACGAGAAGCUUGCUUCUCUGAUGUUAGCGGCGGACGGGUGAGUAACACGUGGAUAACCUACCUAUAAGACUGGGAUAACUUCGGGAAACCGGAGCUAAUACCGGAUAAUAUUUUGAACCGCAUGGUUCAAAAGUGAAAGACGGUCUUGCUGUCACUUAUAGAUGGAUCCGCGCUGCAUUAGCUAGUUGGUAAGGUAACGGCUUACCAAGGCAACGAUGCAUAGCCGACCUGAGAGGGUGAUCGGCCACACUGGACCUGAGACACGGUCCAGACUCCUACGGGAGGCAGCAGUAGGGAAUCUUCCGCAAUGGGCGAAAGCCUGACGGAGCAACGCCGCGUGAGUGAUGAAGGUCUUCGGAUCGUAAAACUCUGUUAUUAGGGAAGACCAUAUGUGUAAGUAACUGUGCACAUCUUGACGGUACCUAAUCAGAAAGCCACGGCUAACUACGUG